CGACCUCAGUGCAGGCGAGACUACCCGCUGAAUUUAAGCAUAUUACUAAGCGGAGGAAAAGAAACUAACAAGGAUUUCCUUAGUAGCGGCGAGCGAACAGGAAUGAGCCCAGCACCGAAUCCCGCGGUUCUGCCGCCGGGAAAUGUGGUGUUCGGGAGGGUCCAAUUCUCCCCGCGGCGUCGGACCGCGUCCAAGUCCAUCUUGAAUGGGGCCACUUACCCGUAGAGGGUGGUAGAGGGUGCCAGACACGUAGUGACCGGGACGCGCCGUGGGAGGACCUCUCCUUAGAGUCGGGUUGCUUGAGAGUGCAGCUCUAAGUUGGUGGUAAAUUCCAUCUAAGGCUAAAUAUGACGACGAGACCGAUAGCGAACAAGUACCAUGAGGGAAAGUUGAAAAGAACUUUGAAGAGAGAGUUCAAGAGUACGUGAAACCGUUUAGGGGUGAACCUGAGAAACCCAAAAGAUCGAAUGGGGAGAUUGAUCGUCAGCGACGUUGGCUUCCGUGUGGAUCGCGAUGGCCGGGACCUUGGUUCCGUGUCACACGUCCGCUGCGGUAUGUCCGACGUCGUCGGCGUGCACUGCUCCUCGAAUAGGACGUUGCGACCCGUUGGGUGCCAGCCUACGGCGCGGUUGGUCGACUGUCGCGUCGCGUUUACGCGUGCACGUGGCAGACCACCGGUUGCCCGGCCGGUUGUCCGGCGGUAUAGAUCGCUAUAAAGCGGUAUUGGGCUGCAUUAAGUGCGUUCUGGCUCGUCGGCAGGCUCGUCUCGCUCGGAUUUACGGACCUAGUGCCGUUGCCGGGCGCUUGGCGUAGCCGUUAGUCGACGAUGCCCUCGUACUGGCUCUUAUAUUCGAACGGAUUUACCGGUCGGUGACGCUACUGCUUUGGGUACUUUCAGGACCCGUCUUGAAACACGGACCAAGG
rnacentral:ncRNA from 1 species